GCUGGCGAAGUGACUGCCCAUCAGUUUCCGAUGAGAGCAGGGCAGGUCCUACCUUCCAAGAAGGACCUGGAGGCCAGGUUUCCUGGGCCCUAGCUCAGCCCCUCAGCUUUCCGGGGGUGUCGGGUCAAAGCGGGCAACCAGGACUGCAUCAGCUCCCAGGGUGCUGGAGCCGAUCCCCAACACCACCCCAUCCUACGGCCAUCUCAGAACCCUCUGAGGCCGGAUAAAGAAGAAAAACCAAGACACCACCCAGGCAGGCCUGCGAGCUCAGCAAAACCUCCAAGAAAUCAGCCACGGUGCUUGGGACAGGAGGGAAGGAAGAGGCAGAACCCAACACUCAUGGGAGAAGGGCUCCGAGCGCUUCUAACAGGUGGCAGGACCGCCCAUUGUCCCCAUCACCAGGGAGCAGCGCAGGACGGGCAGCG